AGGACGAACGCUGGCGGCGUGCCUAACACAUGCAAGUCGAACGGAGCUGAGGAGCUUGCUCCUUAGCUUAGUGGCGGACGGGUGAGUAACGCGUGAGUAACCUGCCUCUGAGAGGGGAAUAACGUUCUGAAAAGAACGCUAAUACCGCAUAACGUAUUGAAGCCGCAUGACUUUGAUACCAAAGAUUUUAUCGCUCGGAGAUGGACUCGCGUCCGAUUAGCUUGUUGGUGAGGUAACGGCUCACCAAGGCGACGAUCGGUAGCCGGACUGAGAGGUUGAUCGGCCACAUUGGGACUGAGACACGGCCCAGACUCCUACGGGAGGCAGCAGUGGGGGAUAUUGCGCAAUGGGGGCAACCCUGAACCGCAGCAACGCCGCGUGAAGGAUGAAGGUUUUCGGAUUGUAAACUUCUUUUAUCAGGGACGAAAUUUGACGGUACCUGAUGAAUAAGCUCCGGCUAACUACGUGCCAGCAGCCGC
rnacentral:rRNA from 1 species